rnacentral:rRNA from 1 species
UACGGAGGGGGCUAGCGUUGUUCGGAAUUACUGGGCGUAAAGCGCACGUAGGCGGCGAUUUAAGUCAGAGGUGAAAGCCCGGGGCUCAACCCCGGAAUAGCCUUUGAGACUGGAUUGCUAGAAUCUUGGAGAGGCGGGUGGAAUUCCGAGUGUAGAGGUGAAAUUCGUAGAUAUUCGGAAGAACACCAGUGGCGAAGGCGGCCCGCUGGACAAGUAUGACGCUGAGGUGCGAAAGCGUGGGGAGCAAACAGG